GACGAACGCUGGCGGCGUGCCUAAUACAUGCAAGUCGAACGGUCUUUUCUAUGGAAGCUUGCUUCCACUGAGAAGAUAGUGGCGAACGGGUGAGUAACACGUGGGUAACCUGCCCAUAAGAGGGGGAUAACAUCCGGAAACGGGUGCUAAUACCGCAUAGUUUUCUUGAUCGCAUGAUUGAGAAAGGAAAGACGGCCUUUGUGCUGUCGCUGUUGGAUGGACCCGCGGCGUAUUAGUUAGUUGGUGAGGUAACGGCUCACCAAGACGAUGAUACGUAGCCGACCUGAGAGGGUGAUCGGCCACAUUGGGACUGAGACACGGCCCAAACUCCUACGGGAGGCAGCAGUAGGGAAUCUUCCGCAAUGGACGAAAGUCUGACGGAGCAACGCCGCGUGAGUGAAGAAGGUUUUCGGAUCGUAAAACUCUGUUGUCAGAGAAGAACAAGUUGGAGAGUAACUGCUCCAGCCUUGACGGUAUCUGACCAGAAAGCCACGGCUAACUACGUGCCAGCCGCCGCCGUAACAC
rnacentral:rRNA from 1 species